rnacentral:SRP_RNA from 1 species
GCCGGGCGUGGUGGCUCAUGCCUGUAAUCCCAGCACUUUGGGAGGCCGAGGUGGGUGGAUCACCUGAGGUCAGGAGUUUGAGACCAGCCUGGCCAACAUGGUGAAACCCCAUCUCUA